CUAGAUGACAGAGGGAGACUCCAUCUCAAAAGAAGAAAAAAAAGGGAUCCUCAGGGCUGCCAACCUUAUAGUAGAAGCUGAGGUGGAAGUAUAUUUCUCCUACACAA
ensembl:snoRNA